CCCUACUGAGCCUUCCGCAGCGACUUGAAAAAGAAAUGCGUAGCCUGCUCUUGCAGACCACACCACGAAAAUGCUAGGACUCACAUUGAUUUGGAGUAUCAGCAGCCUGGAACUGGAUUCCAGGUCCACAGAUCAUGUAGUGGUGGUCGUGUGACUAUGAUUGAGAUAUGACCGGUCUUAACUAGAAUUAGUUAAAGAUACACGUUCCGUAGGUGAACCUGCGGAAGGAUCAUUAU
rnacentral:rRNA from 1 species